rnacentral:rRNA from 1 species
GAUGAACGCUAGCGGGAGGCCUAAUACAUGCAAGUCGAACGGUAACAGGAAUAAACUUCGGUUAAUUCGCUGACGAGUGGCGCACGGGUGAGUAACGCGUACAUAACCUGCCCCUAAGUGUGGGAUAGCCCCGGGAAACUGGGAUUAAUACCGCAUAAUAUCUUAAUGUCGCAUGGCAUAAAGAUUAAAGCUCCGGCGCUUAGGGAUGGAUGUGCGUGCUAUUAGUUAGUUGGUGAGGUAACGGCUCACCAAGACGAUGAUAGCUAGGGGGCGUGAGAGCGUGACCCCCCACACGGGUACUGAGACACGGACCCGACUCCUACGGGAGGCAGCAGUAAGGAAUAUUGGACAAUGGAGGCAACUCUGAUCCAGCCAUCCCGCGUGAAGGAUGACGGCCCUCUGGGUUGUAAACUUCUUUUACUUGUAAAGAAUGGCAGUCAUUUAUGAUUGUUUGACGGUAACUUGUGAAUAAGCACCGGCUAAUUCCGUGCCAGCCGCCGCCGUAACAC